rnacentral:rRNA from 1 species
UUCCAGACUCCUACGGGAGGCAGCAGUGGGGAAUUUUGGACAAUGGGCGCAAGCCUGAUCCAGCUAUUCCGCGUGUGGGAUGACGGCCCUCGGGUUGUAAACCACUUUAGUAGAGAACGAAAAGGAGCUAUCGAAUAAAUAGCUCUGCUGACGGUACUCUAAGGAUAAGCACCGGCUAACUACGUGCCAGCAGCCGCGGUAAUACGUAGGGUGCGAGCGUUAUCCGGAUUUAUUGGGUUUAAAGGGUGCGCAGGCGGAAUGUCAAGUCAGCGGUAAAAUUUCGGGGCUCAACCCCGUCGUGCCGUUGAAACUGGCGUUCUUGAGUGAGCGAGAAGUAUGUGGAAUGCGUGGUGUAGCGGUGAAAUGCAUAGAUAUCACGCAGAACUCCGAUUGCGAAGGCAGCAUACCGGCGCUCAACUGACGCUCAUGCACGAAAGCGUGGGUAUCGAACAGGAUUAGAUACCCGUGUAC